UACGUAGGGGGCAAGCGUUGUCCGGAAUCAUUGGGCGUAAAGAGCGUGUAGGCGGUCCGGUAAGUCCGCUGUGAAAGUCCAGGGCUCAACCCUGGGAUGCCGGUGGAUACUGUCGGGCUCGAGUCCGGAAGAGGAGUGUGGAAUUCCUGGUGUAGCGGUGAAAUGCGCAGAUAUCAGGAGGAACACCAAUGGCGAAGGCAGCACUCUGGGACGUGACUGACGCUGAGACGCGAAAGCGUGGGGAGCAAACAGG
rnacentral:rRNA from 1 species